rnacentral:rRNA from 1 species
GACGAACGCUGGCGGCGUGCUUAACACAUGCAAGUCGAACGGUAAGGCCCUUCGGGGUACACGAGUGGCGAACGGGUGAGUAACACGUGGGUGAUCUGCCCUGCACUUCGGGAUAAGCCUGGGGAACUGGGUCUAAUACCGGAUAGGACCACUGCCUGCAUGGGUGGGGGUGGAAAGGUUUUGCGGUGUGGGAAGGGCCCGCGGCCUAUCAGCUUGGUGGGGGGGUGAUGGCCUACCAAGGCGACGACGGGUAGCCGGCCUGAGAGGGUGACCGGCCACACUGGGACUGAGAUACGGCCCAGACUCCUACGGGAGGCAGCAGUGGGGAAUAUUGCACAAUGGGCGCAAGCCUGAUGCAGCGACGCCGCGUGAGGGAUGACGGCCUUCGGGUUGUAAACCUCUUUCAGCACCGACGAAGCGCAAGUGACGGUAGGUGCAGAAGAAGGACCGGCCAACUACGUGCCAGCCGCCGCCGUAA